rnacentral:rRNA from 1 species
CGAACGGGUGAGUAACGCGUUGGUGACCUGCCCCGAAGAGGGGGAUAACAAUUCGAAAGAAUUGCUAAUACCCCAUAAUAUCAAUAGGAUUAGAUGCCUUAUGAUUAAAGGAGUAAUCCGCUUCGGGAGGGGCCUGCGUCCCAUCAGCUAGUUGGUAGGGUAAUGGCCUACCAAGGCGAUGACGGGUAGGGGGCCUGAGAGGGUGGCCCCCCACAAUGGUACUGAAACACGGACCAUACAUCUACGGAUGGCAGCAGUAGGGAAUAUUGCCCAAUGGACGAAAGUCUGAGGCAGCAACGCCGCGUGUGCGAUGAAGGCCUUCGGGUUGUAAAGCACUUUUACGUGGGAAGAGAAAGGACGGUACCACGUGAAUAAGGAUCGGCCAACUACGUGCCAGCAGCCGCGGUAACACGUAGGAUUCAAACGUUAUCCGGAAUUACUGGGCGUAAAGCGCGUGUAGGCGGUUUGGAAAGUUGGGUGUUAAAUCUCCGGGCUCAACCCGGAGCGGUCGCCCAAAACUACCAGACUAGAGGACGAUAGAGGGAGGUGGAAUUUCAGGUGUAGCGGUGAAAUGCGUAGAUACCUGAAGGAACACCAGUGGCGAAGGCGGCCUCCUGGGUCGUACCUGACGCUCAGACGCGAAAGCUAGGGUAGCAAACGGGAUUAGAAACCCCGG